ACAGGACCUGAGUGAGAGCUGACUCCUGACCUUCCUUUCAGCAGAGUUCAGCCCAGAGGGAGAACAGUUUCUGGGCCAUACGGACACUCAGGGGAAAGUGAGGGGGAGACAGAAAAGAGAACAUUUAACGACAUCUAAGAGGCAAUGUGGGGAGAUAUGGAAAGGAAGGAACCCAGUGAUCAGUUUUGCUAUAAAACAAAGGCAGCCUAAGACAUGACUGUUUAAGCAUCUGCAAUAAUGAGACUAAAUGUUGGCAUUAAAGAGCCAGUGUGCACAGAGCCUCUUUUGUGAAGAAUUCCUACUGGAAGUUGCUGAGAUCUCUCUUUUUUUUAAAAAAAAAACCCUUUUAAAAUAAAGUGCUCCCUGUAUUCCCUCUG